GGCCUCGCUCAGCUGUCCGAACUCGCCAAGAUGGUCAAGGAGAUCAACAUCGCGCUGCUCACCAGCUAAGGUAUAUCAUCAUCAUCAUCAUCAUUUCAGCCAUAAGACGUCCACUGCUGAACAUAGGCCUCGCUCAGCUGUCCGAACUCGCCAAGAUGGUCAAGGAGAUCAACAUCGCGCUGCUCACCAGCUAAGGUGAGUCAGUACGCUGGUGUAGGACUCUGUUACAUUGAGGUUGCGCAACACGUGUGCUACCUGCAGCCGCCCGCGCUCGCAAUAUGCUGUACCACGUCAAGAUGGUCAAGGAGAUCAACAUCGCGCUGCUCACCAGCUAAGAUUCCACUUGACCGCCAUUUGGUAUUGAAGACAGCGCAACAAUUCGACGCAAGAUCACAAUAAUAAUAUAUUUUCCGCCGAAGUUGAGUUACUGGCAGCAGCGCCCGCCGGCCUGCGGUCCUUUACCAGUAAACGCAUACCGCAGUCACCUUAUUGUUGUAAAGAUGGUAACAGUGUAUAUUUUUUCUACUUUGUAUAUCGGUCUGCGUACGGACGGUCGAACAUUACCUAAUUUUAAUACAUAGUCUAUAAUAGAUGUCUUUUUUUAUAAUGUUGCAAUGUUUUAGACUAAGAUUUCUGUGCGGGACCGUUUAUGUAUGUACAGUUUAUAUGGUUCUAGUACUUUCAUUUAAGAAAACUGAUGUUUUAUCUAAUUUAUCAUGCUAUGUCAAAUUUUAUCGGCAUAUUUAGAGAAAUAUAAUGAAUUUAUUUAAAUUGUUUCAAAUUAGCAGUUUGCUACAUUAUUUUCGAUCAGAUUGUAUAUACGCCAAGCGACUUGCACGCAUAUAGAAUUUUUUAUUUUUCAUAAUGCAUAGUACAUAUUUUGUCAUUGAAGGAUGUUUGUGACAUAACUUUCCUCAGUGCCAGCUCGAAAGGAUUAUAAUGUAUAAUAUUACACUCGUGUAAUACUUAAAUAUUAAUAAUACAUAGGCUAGAAUGUAAGCGAAGAAAUUCCAGGUUUUUAGUGGAAGGCGCACUUUUUUGUUAUAGUAGCAUUAUUCAUUUUAUAAAUCGGGGAAGCAGUUUAUAAUAUUCUCAACAAAUAGAAGUUUUUAUUAAAAAUAAUAUAGCUUAGUAAAAGAGUCAGAUUCGUAUUAUAUUUUAAGAAUAAUAACGUCUGUAAGUUCUAGGUUACUGAUGUGUAAAAAAGAAUACUGAUUCUCUAAA